rnacentral:rRNA from 1 species
AUGCCUCAGUACGGCGAGUGAAGCGGCAAAAGCUCAAAUUUGAAAUCUAGCACUUUCAGUGUUCGAGUUGUAAUUUGAAGAAGGUAACUUUGGUUUUGGCUCUUGUCUAUGUUCCUUGGAACAGGACGUCACAGAGGGUGAGAAUCCCGUGCGAUGAGAUGCCCAAUUCCAUGUAAAGUGCUUUCGAAGAGUCGAGUUGUUUGGGAAUGCAGCUCUAAGUGGGUGGUAAAUUCCAUCUAAAGCUAAAUAUUGGCGAGAGACCGAUAGCGAACAAGUACAGUGAUGGAAAGAUGAAAAGAACUUUGAAAAGAGAGUGAAAAAGUACGUGAAAUUGUUGAAAGGGAAGGGCUUGAGAUCAGACUUGGUAUUUUGCGUUCCCUUCCUUUUUGGUUGGGUUCCUCGCAGUUUACUGGGCCAGCAUCGGUUUGGAUGGUAGGAUAAUGACAUUGGAAUGUAGCUUUACUUCGGUGAAGUGUUAUAGACUUUGUUGAUACUGCCUAUCUAGACCGAGGACUGCGUCUUUGACUAGGAUGCUGGCGUAAUGAUCUUAAGCCGCCCGUCUUGAACACGGGACCA